rnacentral:rRNA from 1 species
ACGCGAUGAACCUUACCACCUUUUGACAUGCCUGGAUCGCUGCAGAGAUGCAGUUUUCCCUUCGGGGACCAGGACACAGGUGCUGCAUGGCUGUCGUCAGCUCGUGUCGUGAGAUGUUGGGUUAAGUCCCGCAACGAGCGCAACCCUCGCUGUUAGUUGCCACCAUUUAGUUGGGCACUCUAACAGGACUGCCGGUGCUAAGCCGGAGGAAGGUGGGGAUGACGUCAAGUCCUCAUGGCCCUUACGGGGU